GGUACCUCAGGGAUGGACCUCAAGAACAUCUGAGCGCAAGAAGGCAGACAUGAAAGUCCGCAGUGUCCAAUUCCGUUUAUUUGAAAUGUCCACAGAAUAGGUAAGUCCACAGAGACAGAAGCCGACCGGUGGUUGCCAAGGACCUGGUGGGGGGCAGGGGGGCAGAUGGGGAGUGACUGCUAAGGGUACAGGGUCCCCUCCUGGGGCAAUGCAACUGUUUUGGAACUAGACCGAGGUGGUGGUUGCACAACACUGAGAAUGUACUGAAUGCCACUGAAGUGUUUACGUUAAAAUGGUUAAUUUUUCAUUAUGGGUGUUGAACCUCAAAAGCAAC